AUUGAACGCUGGCGGCAUGCUUUACACAUGCAAGUCGAACGGCAGCGCGGGCUUCGGCCUGGCGGCGAGUGGCGAACGGGUGAGUAAUGCAUCGGAACGUGCCCAGUAGUGGGGGAUAGCCCGGCGAAAGCCGGAUUAAUACCGCAUACGACCUGAGGGUGAAAGCGGGGGACCGAAAGGCCUCGCGCUAUUGGAGCGGCCGAUGUCGGAUUAGCUAGUUGGUGGGGUAAAGGCUUACCAAGGCGACGAUCCGUAGCUGGUCUGAGAGGACGACCAGCCACACUGGAACUAGGAACCGCCCCAGCCCCCUACGGGGGGCAGGAGGGGGAAAUUUUGGCAAUGGGGGGAAACCCUGAUCCGGCCAUGCGGCGGGGGGGAAGAAGGCCUUGGGGUUGUAAACCGUUUUUUUUGGGGAAAAAAUCCUCUGGGCUAAACCCCCGGGGGGAUGACGGUACCGGAAGAAAAAGCACCGGCAAACUAGGU
rnacentral:rRNA from 1 species